AUGCUACGUCUACGUACUGUAGCCGUGGCCGCCGCCUUGUUGCUGCUGCUGUCCUCCCCCGCCCCGACCUCCCAGCUCAGCCUCGGCGCCACAUUUGGCGUUUGGAUCAAUGGCGCCGCGCCGCCACCGCCUCCUCCCGGCUCCGCCUCGCUGGGGCCCUCCUCGACGCAGAUCCAAGGCGGCGGGCAAGAAUACACGGCGCUGCAGGAGCUGAAGGCAGCCAUCUUUGAGGACCCCCGCGGCGCGCUGUCGUCCUGGCAGGGGCCAAAUGUCUGCGCCUACAAGGGCGUCUACUGCUCCGCGCCGCCCGCUGGCGCGGCGGCGGCGGGCGCGGUGGUCGCCGGCAUUGACCUCAACCAUGCGAGCCUCAAGGGCACGCUCCCGGCCGCCCUCUCCCUCCUCUCCCACCUCACGUUCCUCCACCUUAACAGCAACCGCCUCGCCGGCGCCGUUCCGGACACGCUCGGGGACCUGCAGUACCUCACCGAACUGGACCUGAGCAACAACCUGUUCUCCGGGCCCUUCCCCGCGGCCACAUUGCUUAUACCGUCGCUGGUCUACCUCGACCUGCGGUUCAACGGCUUCUCCGGCGAGCUCCCUGACGAGGUCUUCGCCAAGAACCUGGACGCGCUCUUCCUCAACAACAACCAGUUCGACGGCCAGAUCCCGGAGACGUUGUGGUCCUCACCGGCGACGGUGAUCACCCUGGCGAACAACCGCCUGACGGGGCCCGUCCCGACGGCUUAUGGCUACGGCGGCAGGGUCCGUGAGUUGCUGUUCCUCAACAACAAGCUGACCGGCUGCGUCCCGGAGGCCCUGGGGUUCCUGCCUUACAUCGAGGUGCUUGACCUCAGCAACAACCUGCUGUCGGGCCACCUGCCGAGCACGCUGUCGUGCCUCUCCGGCAUCGAGGUGCUCAACAUCGCGCACAACCAGUUCACCGGCGAGCUGCCGGAGCUGGUGUGCGACCUGAGGCGGAUCACGAACCUAUCGGUCUCCUUCAACUUCUUUUCCGGGAUCAGCCAGGAUUGCGACCGGCUGGCGGGACGGAGCGUCUUCGACUUUGCGGGCAACUGCGUCCCGGGGCGGGGCAUGCAACGGCCGCAGCCCGAGUGCGACGACGCGCCGGGGGACGUCGGGCUCAGCUGUCUGCGCAUCCCGGGGUCGCGCCCUGUUGCGUGCGCCGAGGCCGCGGUGUCCAUCGGCAUCGGCGUCACCUUCGGUGGUGGGCUGCCGUUUGGGAUGUCAGGCGGCGGCGCCGGUGUCACGGUCACCGUCCCCUGA
rnacentral:rRNA from 1 species